GAUUAACGCUGGCGGCGUGCAUAACACAUGCAAGUCGAACGAUGAAACUUAGUAGACUUCUUCGGAAAGACACUAAGCGGAUUAGUGGCGAACGGGUGAUUAACGCGUGAGUAACCUGCCUUACACAAGGGGAUAGCCUUUUGAAACGAAGAAUAAUACCCUAUAAAACCAUAAAAGCACAUGCUAGAAUGGUCAAAGUGAUAGCGGUGUAAGAUGGACUUGCGUCUGAUUAGCUAGUUGGUGAGAUAAAAGCUCACCAAGGCAACGAUCAGUAGCCGGCUUGAGAGAGUGUACGGCCACAUUGGGACUGAGACACGGCCCAGACUCCUACGGGAGGCAGCAGUGGGGAAGUUUGAACAAUGGGGGAAACCCUGAUGCAGCGACGCCGCGUGAUUUAGAAGGCCUUCGGGUUGUAAAAAUCUUUUGUAUAGGAAGAAAAUGACAGUACUAUACGAAUAAGGUCCGGCUAAUUACGUG
rnacentral:rRNA from 1 species